rnacentral:lncRNA from 1 species
AAAGGGCGGGAGCAGCCUCGGCUCCAAUCCUAGGAUCCACAGGGCCAAGUUCUGCGGUCGCGAGGCGCGGGAGAAAUUGGGGAUAGGCCGAAGAAAAAGCCAAUGAAAGGAAGAGGGGAGAAUUUAGAAAGAGAUUGCCACAGUCCAAGAAAGGAAGAAGGCUGAAGAAAUCAAGGGGAGUAGCUACAAAAGCAUUUUCCGAAGGAUAGGAGAAGCAAAGGAGGUGCCUCAGUGAACAAGAGGCAAAUGAAUUGACAAGGAGCGAGGUAUAUGUUUCUUCCAGGUGCUCCACUUCCAUCCUGGAACUUCCUCUACCCUCUGGAGAGCCUCUGCUUUACAACUGCUGUUCUAGCCUCACCCCAGUCAUCACAGUUGCUCUGGGCAACGAGAAUUAUCCAUUGGAUCCCAUCUGCCAUUCCAAGGGUGAUAACAUUUGUUUUCCAGUUCUGUAAAAUGUGAUCAUGGUGCUGACUCCAUAUUUCUCUUUUUUGAAUUUGGGAUUUAAGAAAUUUACAGCAGCAAGAAUUGACUAAUGACAAUUACUCCUGUUUCUUAAUAAAAGUCUAUUACUUA